AACGAACGCUGGCGGCAGGCUUAACACAUGCAAGUCGAACGCCCCGCCAGGGGAGUGGCAGACGGGUGAGUAACGCGUGGGAACAUACCCUUUUCUACGGAAUAGCUCUGGGAAACUGGAAUUAAUACCGUAUACGCCCUACGGGGGAAAGAUUUAUCGGGGAAGGAUUGGCCCGCGUUGGAUUAGCUAGUCGGUGGGGUAAAGGCCUACCAAGGCGACGAUCCAUAGCUGGUCUGAGAGGAUGAUCAGCCGCAUUGGGACUGAGACACGGCCCAAACUCCUACGGGAGGCAGCAGUGGGGAAUAUUGGACAAUGGGCGCAAGCCUGAUCCAGCCAUGCCGCGUGAGUGAUGAAGGCCUUAGUGUUGUAAAGCUCUUUCACCGAUGAAGAUAAUGACGGUAGUCGGAGAAGAAGCCCCGGCUAACUUCGUG
rnacentral:rRNA from 1 species